rnacentral:rRNA from 1 species
GGAGCCGCCCCGGCGCCCGGAACCCCCUGCGGUCCCGCGGCCCGGAACCAAGGCGCCCGCCGGAGGCCACAAACUCUUCUGUUUUUACAGUUUCUUCUGAGUGUGCCGCAAGGCAGUAUACAAAUGAAUCAAAACUUUCAACAACGGAUCUCUUGGUUCUGGCAUCGAUGAAGAACGCAGCGAAAUGCGAUAAGUAAUGUGAAUUGCAGAAUUCAGUGAAUCAUCGAAUCUUUGAACGCACAUUGCGCCCGUCAGAAUUCUGGCGGGCAUGCCUGUUCGAGCGUCAUUUCAACCCUCGAGCUCCCCUUUCGGGGGGAGCCCGGCGUUGGGGACCCGGCGCUAACAACGCCGGCCCCGAAAUGGAGUGGCGGCCCGUCCGCGGCGACCUCUGCGUAGUAACAACCACUCGCACCGGGACCCGGGCGCGGCCACGCCGUAAAACACCCCACCUUCCGAAUGUUGACCUCGAAUCAGGUAGGAAUACCCGCUGAACUUAA